GCAAGCGGUUGAUCCCUUGUAUAAUUACUGUUGCUUGCGUGAACGUCUUUUUGUGGAACGAAGAGAGCCACUUUUCUAACAGUUUUGAAGAUUUCAGAAGCCUGAGAGAAAAGAAAGUUGAUCUUUAUCAUUUAUUUCUGGGAAGUGAUGGGCUAUUUCUUUGUACUACAAUCCACAUCUUGGAGUCUGAGAGAACCUGUUGCGAAGUUGCUGCUUGUGGUGGCCCCGUGUCACCCAUAUCCAAAAGACACAAGUGGUCCUAGUGACGGUGGAAAUGAUACCGCCACACCAUUCCAGGAUUUAUGAGUACACGGUUAUGCAUCAGCACAUGAAUUUUUUAUGUGCUCCACCCCUUCACCCUGUUUGAUCAGAGCAAAAUGGCCGCUGCAGGCUUUUCUUAGCUUGCAGAAUAGUAGAGCAUCCAGGAGCUGUGGAAGAUGUGAUAAAGAGAGGACACAGGUGCCUCCACCCAGACCAGUGUUGGCUCAACACAGCGUCAGAGAUAUACCUGGCGCAACGACAGGAGCUGGUCUUCCGUGAGAAUGUCUUACUUUGACAUGUCAGAUGACCAUCCGUGCGCAGACAUCGGGCACUACUUCCAAUU